UACGGAGGGUGCAAGCGUUAAUCGGAAUUACUGGGCGUAAAGCGCGCGUAGGCGGAUUAAUAAGUCAGAUGUGAAAGCCCUGGGCUUAACCUAGGAACUGCAUUUGAAACUGUUAAUCUUGAGUAUGGUAGAGGUAAGCGGAAUUUCCAGUGUAGCAGUGAAAUGCGUAGAGAUUGGAAGGAAUAUCGAUGGCGAAGGCAGCUUACUGGGCCAAUACUGACGCUGAGGUGCGAAAGCGUGGGUAGCGAACGGG
rnacentral:rRNA from 1 species